rnacentral:rRNA from 1 species
UACGUAGGGGGCAAGCGUUGUCCGGAUUUAUUGGGCGUAAAGAGCGUGUAGGCGGCCAUACAGGUCCGUUGUGAAAACUGGAGGCUUAACCUCCAGACGUCGAUGGAAACCGUAUGGCUAGAGUCCGGAAGAGGAGAGUGGAAUUCCUGGUGUAGCGGUGAAAUGCGCAGAUAUCAGGAAGAACACCCGUGGCGAAGGCGGCUCUCUGGGACGGUACCUGACGCUGAGACGCGAAAGCGUGGGGAGCGAACAGG